rnacentral:rRNA from 1 species
UACGUAGGCAGCAAGCGUUGUUCGGAAUUACUGGGCGUAAAGAGUGUGUAGGCGGUGCUCUAAGUCUGUCGUGAAAUCUCCCGGCUUAACUGGGAGGGUGCGGCGGAAACUGGAAUGCUAGAGGAUGGGAGAGGUAAGCGGAAUUCCUGGUGUAGCGGUGAAAUGCGUAGAUAUCAGGAGGAACACCUGUGGUGUAGACAGCUUACUGGACCAUUUCUGACGCUGAGACACGAAAGCGUGGGUAGCAAACAGG